rnacentral:rRNA from 1 species
GACGAACGCUGGCGGCGUGCUUAACACAUGCAAGUCGAACGGAAAGGCCCUGCUUUUGAGGGGUGCUCGAGUGGCGAACGGGUGAGUAACACGUGAGUAACCUGCCCUUGACUUUGGGAUAACUUCAGGAAACUGGGGCUAAUACCGGAUAGGAGCUCCUGCUGCAUGGUGGGGGUUGGAAAGUUUCGGCGGUUGGGGGUGGACUCGCGGCUUAUCAGCUUGGUGGUGGGGUGGGGGCUUACAAAGGCUUUGACGGGUGGCCGGCCUGAGAGGGUGACCGGCCACAUUGGGACUGAGAUACGGCCCAGACUCCUACGGGAGGCAGCAGUGGGGAAUAUUGCACAAUGGGCGGAAGCCUGAUGCAGCAACGCCGCGUGCGGGAUGACGGCCUUCGGGUUGUAAACCGCUUUCGCCUGUGACGAAGCGUGAGUGACGGUAAUGGGUAAAGAAGCACCGGCUAACUACGUGCCAGCCGCCGCCGUAACAC